CCUACGGGAGGCAGCAGUGGGGAAUCUUGCGCAAUGGGCGAAAGCCUGACGCAGCCAUGCCGCGUGAAUGAUGAAGGUCUUAGGAUUGUAAAAUUCUUUCACCGGGGACGAUAAUGACGGUACCCGGAGAAGAAGCCCCGGCUAACUUCGUGCCAGCAGCCGCGGUAAUACGAAGGGGGCUAGCGUUGCUCGGAAUUACUGGGCGUAAAGGGAGCGUAGGCGGAUAGUUCAGUCAGAGGUGAAAGCCCAGGGCUCAACCUUGGAACUGCCUUUGAUACUGGCUAUCUUGAGUUUGGGAGAGGUGUGUGGAGCUCCGAGUGUAGAGGUGAAAUUCGUAGAUAUUCGGAAGAACACCAGUGGCGAAGGCGACACACUGGCCCAAUACUGACGCUGAGGCUCGAAAGUGUGGGGAGCAAACAGGAUUAGAUACCCUGGUAGUCCACGCUGUAAACGAUGAGUGCUAGUUGUCGGCAUGCAUGCAUGUCGGUGACGCAGCUAACGCAUUAAGCACUCCGCCUGGGGAGUACGGUCGCAAGAUUAAAACUCAAAGGAAUUGACGG
rnacentral:rRNA from 1 species